UACGUAGGGUGCAAGCGUUGUCCGGAAUUAUUGGGCGUAAAGAGCUCGUAGGCGGUCUGUCGCGUCGGCUGUGAAAACCCGGAGCUCAACUCCGGGCCUGCAGUCGAUACGGGCAGACUGGAGUUCGGCAGGGGAGACUGGAAUUCCUGGUGUAGCGGUGAAAUGCGCAGAUAUCAGGAGGAACACCGGUGGCGAAGGCAGGUCUCUGGGCCACUACUGACGCUGAGAAGCGAAAGCAUGGGGAGCGAACAGG
rnacentral:rRNA from 1 species